rnacentral:miRNA from 1 species
AAACCGCCACCUACCAUGCAUGUGAAGGAGGUACUGAAAAUUAAAUUAAAUUUAAUUUAAUUUAAUUUUCAGUACCUCCUUCACAUGCAUGGUAGGUGGCGAUUUAUUUU